CUAUUUUUUUGUUUUUUUGUUUUUUUGUUUUUUGGAGGGGAUUUCGAGCUUAGUGUAGUUUUAGGGACAAAACAGGAAAGU
rnacentral:ribozyme from 1 species